GACGGAGGGUGCUAGCGUUGUUCGGAAUGACUGGGCGUAAAGGGCGCGUAGGCGGCUCGUGAAGUCGGGUGUGAAAGCCCGGGGCUCAACCCCGGAACGGCAUCCGAUACUGGCGGGCUUGAGACCGGGAGAGGAGGGUGGAAUACCCAGUGUAGAGGUGAAAUUCGUAGAUAUUGGGUGGAACACCGGUGGCGAAAGCGGCUCUCUGGCCCGGAUCUGACGCUGAGGCGCGAAAGCGUGGGGAGCAAACAGGAUUAGAAACCCCAGUACGUCCAACGAAGCAA
rnacentral:rRNA from 1 species